rnacentral:rRNA from 1 species
AGGACGAACGCUGGCGGCGUGCCUAACACAUGCAAGUCGUACGAGGGCAGCCUUCGGGCUGACCCGAGUGGCGGACGGGUGAGUAACACGUGACCAAUCUGCCUUGGAGAGGGGGAUAACCUGGGGGAAACUCGGGCUAAUACCGCAUGAAGUGUCGUGCUCGCAUGGGCUGACACCAAAGGGACGGCCUCUACUUGUAAGCUUCCGCUCUGAGAGGAGGUCGCGGCGUAUCAGCUAGUUGGUAGGGUAACGGCCUACCAAGGCGACGACGCGUAGCGGUCUGAGAGGACGACCCGUCACAUUGGGACUGAGAUACGGCCAGACUCCGUACGGGAGCAGCGAGGUAGGGAAUAGUGCGCAAGUGGUACGAAAGAC